UGUUUGAAAAUGUUAUGCACAAUACAAUCAAGGUCGAUUUUGUGGAAAUGGUGUGCGGUGCUUCUGCUGUGUAGAAUACAAGUUAACGCUGUACAGUUAUGCUCCGAGCAGGAGUCGGUAGACAUCACCAACGAAACAAUGGAUGACGAUGGAAAUAUUGACUACAAUGGAGUGCGCUACAGUCCUUCACAGUAUUUCGAAAAAGGAAAUGGAAUACGAGGAUGCAUUUGUUUGGUGCGUCAAUGUAUAUAUGUUUGCGAGUCAGAUAAUGGUACGAAUGUUGGGCUGACUGAGCUCUAUGCCAAUGUAUCCGAGGCUUCAGGCUCAAACAAUACCAUACGAAACCUAGCCACAGAUGAUCGGUACCACUUGAUUUUGAAAGAACCUGAUUGUGAGGGAUAUUGGUUGGCCCUGGAGCAGCAUGAAGUAAUCAUAACAUCGACAGGUGAGCUGAAAUUGGACGAGUUUAUGUAUAGCUAUUCUCAAUUCUGUAUGUUACCGAAGGAUGAGAUGGAUAGUUUUAAUGCAUCAUAUUGUGAGUCUGAAAUCAGCGAUUUAUCACAUAUCAUAUACGCCUUAGGCUUUCUGAUAUCUUUGCCUUUUCUUGUGGCUACGUUCAUGGUGUAUGCUAUACUACCUGAGCUGCAGAACCUCCCAGGCAUGUCAGUGAUGUGCUAUGUGGCAGCACUCGCAGUAUCAUAUUUACUAUUGGCCUUGGCGCGAAUGAAUAUCUAUGACUACCAAUCCUUUAUGUGUAAGGUCACUGCAUAUACAUUGUACUUUACGUUGAUGGCCAGCUUCUUUUGGCUCAACAUCAUGUCAUUCGACAUCUA